rnacentral:rRNA from 1 species
UACGUAGGGUGCGAGCGUUGUCCGGAAUUACUGGGCGUAAAGGGCUUGUAGGUGGUUUGUCGCGUUGUUCGUGAAAACUCACAGCUUAACUGUGGGCGUGCGGGCGAUACGGGCAGACUGGAGUACUGCAGGGGAGACUGGAAUUCCUGGUGUAGCGGUGGAAUGCGCAGAUAUCAGGAGGAACACCGGUGGCGAAGGCGGGUCUCUGGGCAGUAACUGACGCUGAGGAGCGAAAGCGUGGGGAGCAAACAGG